rnacentral:tRNA from 1 species
GGUUGUAGCUCAGUGGUAGAGCACUUGCCUAGCAUACGUAAGGCCCUGGGUUUGAUCCUCAGCACCA